AACCCACUGAACAAGGCCAGGGAUCGAACCCACAACCUCAUGGGUUCCUGUUCGGAUUCGUUAACCACUGUGCCACAACAGGAAUUCCCAGAGGGACCGCUUUAAGGGUGUCAAAGGGCUCACUCCAACUCCCAGCCUUUUAAAACCAAACCUUAGAGUAGUCAUGGGAGUGAACCAGAAUGCUCAGGCUUCGUUCAAAUGUGCGAGGAACUCUGUGACCAGCAGUGGAUGCUCUCCUAGGGUGGGCGAGGGGAGGGGCACGCUCCGACCAGACAGUUGGGGGAACAGCAGAGUGUCAGAGUCUCUGUUAGAGGCGGGAACAGCCUCACUCUCUGGUCCCAAGGUCAUGGUAAUUGACAGACAAAUAAGCCGAGAGCGGGAAAAGCUGCCCGUUCCAAGAGUGUGUAUGAACAACUUGGCAGGACCACCAUCUGAACCUGGGAGAACUAUCUCCCCACGUAUGUUUAGUCAAACCUCAUUCCUGCAUGUGCCCCUCUCAGCUGCUGACUGCUGCGUGACCUUGGGCAAGGCAGUUAACCUCUCUGAGCUCCAGUUUCCCCAAGUGACAAACAAGAGGAGGAGGUGGUAGGGGUCCCCUCUAAUUCUAAAAUCAAGGCUGUUAUCAUUCUUCCCAGAUGAACCUGGGAUAUUGGUUAAUGAACAACUGCUGGUGAAAGCUGGGCACAGCAAGUCGUGGACUGGACUCUGCCGUGUGAUGGGCACCAAGGGGGCAAAAAGAUGGACAAGAAGGAAAAGAAACAUGGGUUUUUGUCCUCCCGCCCUCUCUGCUCCCUUGCUUUCCUUCCUUCCCCAAAGGUCACUCUCUACAGGCCUCGCUCUUGACACCGGAGACCCAGAGAUGGAGUAGACAAAGCCCCCGCCUGUCAAAUCUGAACCGACUGCUUGGAAAAGGUUGUCUGCCGCCACCGGGGACCUUUUCUGGGUACAUGGCUUUCCCCCGACUUAAAGCUGAGUCCACCGCAGGGCAGAACUUGUCCUGGGAAAGCUUUGUGCUUGUCAAGUAAGUUUUCUUUCCUUCACAGUCACCUUCCUGCCCUUUUCAAAAAAGGGCUGACCCAGAAACGGUGAGGUCAAGUCCCAAAUCAACAAGAAACCUUGUGUGUGCGUGAGUGUCGGAGGUGGGAUUCUGCUCUGCAGGACGCUGCAGUGGGCUGGAGCAGCCCAGGAAGCCCAUGGAAACGGAGUGGGCUGCAUUCACAGAGGUUAGACAGCUGACUGCUAAGAUGGGCAUACACUCUUUACAUUUUCAUCGACAGUUGAAGAAGCCACGCCAAGGAACUCAAGACGGUGAAUCUCAAGGAUCCCACAGGGAAGAGCCUGUUUUGUUGAAACCGACAUUAGCAGUGAAGGGCAGGUACUUUAUCAGAUGGUUUUCCUUAUUCUGCCCCCCACCCCCAUGGCAUGGGCCUUGCAGGAGGCUAAAGAGCACACAGAGGGAGAGGUGAAUUCUCAUCUGUCACAUUCACAGCCGCUUUCUCCUGGAAGAGAUGCCUAGAUGAAGCGGCAGGUUGCUGGGACCCAGAGAGCAUCUGUGCGUGGUUUAGGUGCCCUGGCUGAGACUCAAGCUGCCUUGGGUUCAAUGCCACGUCCUCCUCUUACACACCGGGACACGCUACACAUCUUUUUGGGACCCCAGUUUCAUGCCACUGUGGCCAGAAGGGUUAGUGCUGAGUUGGGGGGAACUGAGUUUGAAACCAGGUCCUACCACUUACUGGCUCUAGGGCUCUGGGUGAGUUUUUAACCUCUGCAAACCCUGCUUUCUCCAUCUGUAAAGUGGGGAUGAUAGCACCAGCUGCUUCCUAGUGUUGGUUCGGGGGGUGAGCGAGACAGGGCACCUAGGGUCCUGGGCAAAGGACUGGCAAAUAGAAGGACUAAGCUGAGCUUCGCUAUGUGUCCCUCGCAUCGAAUCACACUCCCCUUGGGCCGUGGGGUCUGCGAGGGCAGAGAUCUGAUCUGUCUUUUCUCCUAGGGCUUGGUCUUGCCGAAACCUGCAGCUGCCUUCCCUCGAGAGGCUAUUACGCUGUCAGCAAGUGCUGGACGAAUGAAAUGCAUGAAUGCCUUGCCCAGGCAGUGUCUUCAGGCCUAGGCACCGGGAGGCUGUCAUCCAGAAGGAGAAUGAUGCUAAGCAGGGCUCAGGAAGGUUUCCUCAUUUCACCUUCGGAGCAAGACGAAAGGCGGAUUCUGACUCCCCCAGUUUACAGAUGGGGAAACCGUAGCAUGAGAAGGAUGUUACGUAACUUGCCCAAGGACAUACAUGCGUGAUGGAGACAGAACCGAAGCCCAGGCAGUUCUGGGUGAGCUUUGUGCAAUGACGGCGCCUGUGUGUCCACCUGAUCGCUACUGGCCCAGCGACAGCAACGGGGACAGAGCAUGCAGUGCUGUCAGAUACGGACUCUGCUGGGGACUGGACCACAGGGACCUUAGCGAAUUCGAGGAAAAUGAAGCCAGUGCUGUCCAUUUAACCUCUGUUUCUGGAAGACACGGAGAAUUCCUCUUGCUCAAGGCUGUUUCUAUCCACCAUGCCUUUGCCUCUUUAGGGUCACUAUGUGACUUUCGCCUGCCUGGCAUUUCUUCUGAUGAUAGGAAUUCUCUCUUUGUUUGGGGGAACCCUACUCUCAACCUCUGAAUUUGGAUGGACUUGGCUUCCUGGAGGCCAAGGACAGCAUCUCCAUUCCUCUGUCCAGGGUGUUUGAUUCAGGCAGGGACAUGUGACCUUGGACUAUGGGCAAAGAGGCACUGUCUUUUCCCUGGGUUUACAGAGCUGGCAGCAUCCAAGCCCGGUGGGUCCCUCUGUCAUCAGAUGGGGAAUGCCUGCAUGACUAUGAGGUUAAACAAAGAGAAACAGAGUCAAGAGACAGAGAAAGAGACUCAUGGAGAUGUUAUUUGGAUGCCUGGAUCUAGCCACACUGCUAGGGAAAUGACCCCCCGGACUUUUUAGUUCUAUCACUCAUUCACAUUUUCUUUUCUUAUAAAAAGCACUUGGAGUUGGGUUUCUAGCCUUUACAGCUGGGAGUCCUGUCCAAACCACUCUGACUGCUUACUCAGCCUGGAGUUCCUCUCCUGGUCUCCUCCCCAAUCCAUGAGGUUGAAACUCAACUCAGAGACGGCAUGAGCCCAAUGUUCACUGCAGCACUAUUGACAAUAGCCAAGACGUGGAAGCAACCUAAAUGCCCACUGACAGAUGCGUGGGUAAAGAUGACAUGGUACAUUUAUAUAAUGGAAUAUUACUCAGCCUUGCAAAAAAGAAUGUAGUAAUGCUAUUUGCAACAACAUGGAUGGACAGGGAGAUCAUCAUAAUAAGCGAAGGAAGCCGUAGAAAGGCAAAUAUCAUGAUAUCACUUACAUGUGGAAUCCUUAAAAAAUAUAUUACAGAUGAACCUAUAUACAAAACAGAAAUAGACUCCUAGGCAUAGAAAACAAAUUUAUGGUUA